rnacentral:rRNA from 1 species
CAGUAGCCACGGGAAUACAGAGGGUGCAAGCGUUAAUCGGAAUUACUGGGCGUAAAGCGCGCGUAGGUGGUUCGCCAAGUUGGAUGUGAAAUCCCCGGGCUUAACCUGGGAACUGCAUCCAAAACUGGCGAGCUAGAGUAUGGUAGAGGGUGGUGGAAUUUCCUGUGUAGCGGUGAAAUGCGUAGAUAUAGGAAGGAACAUCAGUGGCGAAGGCGACCACCUGGACUGAUACUGACACUGAGGUGCGAAAGCGUGGGGAGCAAACAGGAUUAGAUACCCCAGUAGUCCCUGUCUCUUAUAC